GGCCUGAUAUCGUGACUUGGAAUUAUUUAAUCCGUUGGCAUUGUAAAUCUGGAAAGCUCAGUAAAGCUCUUCAUUUGUUUGCUAAGAUGCAAGAAAAGGGGUUCCAUCCUGAUCCUAAGAUCUUCGUCACCAUUNCUUGGCAGAGCAGGGAAAGUGGGACACUAUAAAGGAAAACUUUGAGAUUAUGAAAUCAUGGGGCCAUAAUGAAAGCUUGGUCAUUUAUGCGAUCCUUGUUGAUAUUUACGGGCAAUAUGGUAAAU
rnacentral:misc_RNA from 1 species